rnacentral:rRNA from 1 species
AGCGAACGCUAGCGGCGGGCCUAACACAUGCAAGUCGAGCGCGUACCUUCGGGUACGAGCGGCGGACGGGUGAGUAACACGUAGGUCAUCUACCCUUUGGUGGGGGAUAACCCAGGGAAACUUGGGCUAAUACCGCACGAGGUCUACGGAUCAAAGCCUUCGGGCGCCAGAGGAUGAGCCUGCGUCGCAUUACCUAGUUGGUAGGGUAAUGGCCUACCAAGGGGACGAUGCGUAGCUGGUCUGAGAGGAUGAUCAGCCACACUGGGACUGAGACACGGCCCAGACUCCUACGGGAGGCAGCAGUGGGGAAUAUUGCGCAAUGGGGGAAACCCUGACGCAGCCACGCCGCGUGGGUGAUGAAGGCCUUCGGGUUGUAAAGCCCUGUCGGGAGGGACGAAUUCAUGACGGUACCUCCAAAGAAAGCACCGGCUAACUCCGUGCCAGCAGCCGCGGUAAUACGGAGGGU